rnacentral:rRNA from 1 species
CAGAACGAACGCUGGCGGCGCGUUUAAGCAUGCAAGUCGAGCGGCAAGGGCCUUCGGGCCCCUAGAGCGGCGGACGGGUGAGUAACACGUGGACAAUCUGCCCCCCGGCCCGGGAUAGCCCAGGGAAACCUGGAUUAAUACCGGAUGAGACGGGACCCGCGAUGGCGGGAUCCGGGAAAGGCGCUGCGGCGCCGCCGGGGGAUGAGUCUGCGUCCCAUUAGCUAGACGGCGGGGUAACGGCCCACCGUGGCGACGAUGGGUAGCCGGCCUGAGAGGGUGGACGGCCACAUUGGAACUGAGACACGGUCCAGACUCCUACGGGAGGCAGCAGCUAAGAAUCUUCCGCAAUGGGCGAAAGCCUGACGGAAGCGACGCCGCGUGAACGAAGAAGGCCGUGAGGUUGUAAAGUUCUUUUCGGGAGGGGGAACAACCGUGGCAGGGAAUGGCCGCGGGAUGACGUGAAUCCCGGAAUAAGCCCCGGCUAACUACGUGCCAGCCGCCGC